GUUGUGACUCAGUGGUACAGUGCUUGCCUAGCACGUGUGAGGCCCUGGGUUUGAUUCUCAGCAUCACA
rnacentral:tRNA from 1 species